rnacentral:rRNA from 1 species
UACGGGGGGGGUAAGCGUUGUUCGGAAUGACUGGGCGUAAAGCGCGCGUAGGCGGAUCGGAAAGUCGGGGGUGAAAUCCCGGGGCUCAACCCCGGAAUGGCCUUCGAAACUCCCGGUCUUGAGUUCGAGAGAGGUGAGUGGAAUUCCGAGUGUAGAGGUGAAAUUCGUAGAUAUUCGGAGGAACACCAGUGGCGAAGGCGGCUCACUGGCUCGACACUGACGCUGAGGUGCGAAAGCGUGGGGAGCAAACAGG